CCUUUAUUUUUCAUUCCUCGGUGGGGAAACCUGCCGCUGGAAUCAACCUUAAACUCUUGCAUUUAGCAUUUUAAUUUCUGAUAACCUAAUUAAUUAUUACAACUUUCAACAAUGGAUCUCUUGGUUCUGGCAUCGAUGAAGAACGCAGCGAAAUGCGAUAAGUAGUGUGAAUUGCAGACUUUAGUGAAUCAUCGAAUCUUUGAACGCACAUUGCGCCCCUUGGUAUUCCAUUGGGCAUGCCUGUUCGAGCGUCAUUUAAACCCUCAAGCUCUGCUUGGUGUUGGGCGUUUUGUCUACGGACUCGCCCCAAAUCUAUUGGCAGCAGCCUUACCGGCUUCUUGCGCAGUACAAUGCGCUUAGAGAAGCUUGUGUAGCGGUAUGCAACCCAGUAAGCAAUUCUUUAUUUUGACCUCGAAUCAGGUAGGGAUACCCGCUGAACUUAAGCAUAUCAAUAAGC
rnacentral:misc_RNA from 1 species